CAGAGUAUGCGGCCGCGGCUGGCAGGACCGAAAGGGGCCAGGCGAGGAAAGUCCGGGCUCCACAGGGCAGGAUGCCGGAUAACGUCCGGCGGAGGCGACUCCAGGGACAGUGCAACAGAAAUAAACCGCCCGCUCUCUGCGGGUAAGGGUGGAAAGGCAGUGCAAGAGACUACCGCUGUGCUGGUAACAGAACAGGCAUAUGUAAACCCCAUCCGGAGCAAGACCAAAUGCAGAGCUAUGUGACUGCCCGUCACGCUCUCAGGUAGGUUGCUUGAGGCUGCCGGUAACGGCAGCCCUAGAUAGAUGGCCGCACACGACAUAACCCGGCUUAUCGCUCUGCUCG
rnacentral:RNase_P_RNA from 1 species